UUAUUGUUUUCCCGGCGUUUUUUAUUUUGUGUGGGGAAAAUUUGGGAGGGGGAAUAACAAAUUUUCCCCCACAGGAAAACCAGUUUUGGCCCCCAGAUUUACCCCCAGGUUUUUUUGGGGGGCCCCUUUUAGAAUAUUCAAAGCUUUGCCUCCCAACGGGUUUGGGAGUUUUUCCCAAAUGGGUGGACCGGCAGGGGGGCCGGGAAAUUCACUUAGUGAUUUUUGGUUCAUUUAGAGGAAGGUAAAAGUCGUAACAAGGUUUCCGUAGGUGAACCUGCGGAAGGAUCCAUAAAGAAAUUUAAUAAUUUUGAAAAAUGAAUUUUUUUGUUUGGCAAAGAGCAUGAGAGCUUUUACUGGGCAAGAAGACAAGAGAUGGAGAGUCCAGCCGGGCCUGCGCUUAAGUGCGCGGUCUUGCUAGGCUUGUAAGUUUCUUUCUUGCUAUUCCAAACGGUGAGAGAUUUCUGUGCUUUUGUUAUAGGACAAUUAAAACCGUUUCAAUACAACACACUGUGGAGUUUUCAUAUCUUUGCAACUUUUUCUUUGGGCAUUCGAGCAAUCGGGGCCCAGAGGUAACAAACACAAACAAUUUUAUCUAUUCAUUAAAUUUUUGUCAAAAAUAAGAAUUUUCGUAACUGGAAAUUUUAAAAUAUUAAAAACUUUCAACAACGGAUCUCUUGGUUCUCGCAUCGAUGAAGAACGCAGCGAAAUGCGAUACGUAAUGUGAAUUGCAGAAUUCCGUGAAUCAUCGAAUCUUUGAACGCACAUUGCGCCCCUUGGUAUUCCAGGGGGCAUGCCUGUUUGAGCGUCAUUUCCUUCUCAAACAUUCUGUUUGGUAGUGAGUGAUACUCUUUGGAGUUAACUUGAAAUUGCUGGCCUUUUCAUUGGAUGUUUUUUUUCCAAAGAGAGGUUUCUCUGCGUGCUUGAGGUAUAAUGCAAGUACGGUCGUUUUAGGUUUUACCAACUGCGGCUAAUCUUUUUUUAUACUGAGCGUAUUGGAACGUUAUCGAUAAGAAGAGAGCGUCUAGGCGAACAAUGUUCUUAAAGUUUGACCUCAAAUCAGGUAGGAGUACCCGCUGAACUUAAGCAUAUCAAUAAGCGGAGGAA
rnacentral:rRNA from 1 species